UUCGGUGACUAUAGCAAGAGGGUCACACCUGUUCCCAUCCCGAACACAGAAGUUAAGCCUCUUAGCGCCGAUGGUACUGCGGUCUUUUGCCGUGGGAGAGUAGGUCGUCGCCGGAA
rnacentral:rRNA from 1 species